rnacentral:rRNA from 1 species
AACGAACGCUGGCGGCAUGCCUAACACAUGCCAGUCGAACGAUACCUUCGGGUCUAGUGGCGCACGGGUGCGUAACGCGUGGGAACCUGCCCUUAAGUUCGGAAUAACUCCCCGAAAGGGGUGCUAAUACCGGAUAAUUUCUUCGGACCAAAGAUUUAUCGCCUUUGUAUGGGCCCGCGUUGGAUUAGAUAGUUGGUAGGGUAAAAGCCUACCAAGGCGACGAUCCGUAGCUGGUCGGAGAGGAUGAUCAGCCACACUGGGACUGAGACACGGCCCAGACUCCUACGGGAGGCAGCAGUGGGGAAUAUUGGACAAUGGGCGAAAGCCUGAUCCAGCAAUGCCGCGUGAGUGAUGAAGGCCUUAGGGUUGUAAAGCUCUUUUACCCGGGAUGAUAAUGACAGUACCGGGAGAAUAAGCGCCGGCUAACUCCGUG